UACGAAGGGGGCUAGCGUUGCUCGGAAUUACUGGGCGUAAAGGGCGCGUAGGCGGAUAUUUAAAGUUUAGAGGUGAAAGCCCAGGGCUCAACCCUGGAAUAGCCUUUAAUACUGGAUAUCUUUGAGUUCGGGAGAGGUGAGUGGAACUCCGAGUGUAGAGGUGAAAAUUCGUAGAUAUUCGGAAAGAACACCAGUGGCGAAGGCGACUCACUGGCCCGAUAACUGACGCUGAGGCGACGAAAGCGUGGGGAGCAAACAGG
rnacentral:rRNA from 1 species